rnacentral:lncRNA from 1 species
GGCUGUCCACUGUCCCAAGCCCUCGCAUGUCCUGGAUGGCCGGUCAUCAUCCACACGGGGGCUGAAAGGCCCGGCUCCAGCACUCCUGUGGUCAUCAUCCUGCUGAAUCGCUUUGAACUACCCUUGGCCUAACCGCGACUCCCAUCCCGCUUCCCUCCUGCCUCGCCACUGCAGGCCUGUCCCUUUGCUUUCUUAAAACUGCGCACCGUCUGAGGCCACUUCGAGCCUACUGGAUCCCUGGUUCCAACCCAGUAGGAUCACAGAAGCAGGGCCAGCUGCCAGGAGAAAAAGUUGUUCUCUUCUACCAAAUUUUCCUGCCAUCAAAUGCUCAUUGAGUGACAAUAGAGAAAGCACCAUCAUCCUGAAGCAUCAGAUUGGGAGAAAAGUCCGCUCUCGAGAGCAUCAACUAUGUAGAAAGGGGACCAGCUUCUGCAAAAGACUUGAGACAGCUCACAAUGAAGUACUCUGUAUUAGGCAGGGUAAUAUUGAUUGCAAGUGACAGAAACCCAAUCAGAAACUCACUGGAGUCAUGAGGAACACUUAUUGGCUCAGUAAAGGCAAAAUAGACCUUCAGAGAAAUAAAGUCUGGGAAAUUGACUAGAUCCUCACUGAAAGAACUACUAAAGGAUGUACUUAUGGAAGAAGAAAAUUACAAAGUGAAAGAACUGGGAUGCAAGAAGUAAUGUUCCCAACAUGAUGUGAACAACAUCUGUGCUGGUUGAAUGAAUGAAUGGUGUUGAAAGCAUCUACAUCAGGGGUGUCCAAUCUUUCAGCUUCCCUGGGCUACACUGGAAGAAGAAUAAUUUUCUUGCACCACAUAUAAAAUACACUAACACUACUGAUAGCUGAUGAGCUAAAAAAAAAAAAUCGCAAAAAAAUCUCAUGUUUUAAGAAAGUUUAUGAAUUUGUGUUGGGCCACAUCCAAAGCCAUCCUGGGCUGCAUGCAGCCUGCAGGCCAUGGGUUGGACAAGCUUGACUACAGCUUUAAAGUGAUCUUAAUCUAAUCAAUUCUUCCCCAUUCAGAAGAAACCUACUACAUCAGAGUCUAUUGAGAAUCUAUCUCCCUAAUCACCCUCAGGCACAGGGUUAUUAUGUAUUGAUAUCAUACACACUAAAAAAUUCCAUCAUACAGGUCUAGAAAUACUUCCAUAAUACAGUAAUAUUUUAAUAGAGUCAUAACACACAGACAGCCACCCAUUCUGCCUGUAGCCAGUCAUGGAGCAAUACAUUUUGUACAUAACCUGUAAUUUCUUCUGGAGAGUGUAAUUACAAUGCCAAUAUGACAUUUUAUUUUUAUUAUUAUUAUUUAGUUAGUUAGUUAGUUACUUUUUGAGACAGAGUCUCACUCUGUCGCCAGGCUGGAGUGCAGUGGUGUGAUCUCGGCUCACUGCAACCUCUGCCUCCCGGGUUCAAGUGAUUCUUCUGCCUCAGCCUCCCGAGUAGCUGGGACUAUGGGUGCCCACCACCACACCUGGCUAAUUUUUGUAUUUUUAGUAGAGAUGGGGUUUCACCAUGUUAGCCAGGAUGGUCUAGGGGUUGAUAAACUACAGUGCACAGGCCAAAUCUGGUUUACUGCCUGAUUUUGUAAAUAAAGUUUUAUUGGAACACA